GGGGCUGGGAAAAAAAGAGAAGAGGAAGAAGAGAAAAAGCGUGCGCGUGAAAAGAGUUAGGCAAGAAAAGGACGAGACAGAGUGGGGAAGAAGAGGCCGGAGCAAGAGGGGGCAAAGUAGGCAGAGAGAAAGGUGAAAGAUGGAGUUGCACUUGUUUCUGCCCUGCUCCCACACCCUCACCAUUCCAAACAAACUAUAUAGGCCCUGCAGCAAAGGCAUGCCCUCUUUUAAAGCAAUGCCAGUCUUGUUAAGAACACAGACUCAAGCCCACAGAUAGACUGUUUUGUGUUUUGCUAUUCUGUUUAUGCACAAAGGAAUCCUUAACAUGCUUGUCCUCAAGGAGCAAAGAAAAGUAGUAAAAAAUGCAAAUCAUAUCUGACAGUGAAGCUUUCCAGCAAAAACCUUCUGCUCUAGAAUGCAUAAUGUACUCAAGCAUAAUAAGAUCUACUACUACAGACUUUUAGCAUAAUUACCUGUAGGCAACAAAAACUGAGGAAACUGAAUAUCUUUGAUUGGUGUCUCUUGGACCUAAGCUCCCAAAGAAAACCUGGUGGACAGCAGAGAAAGGAACAGACAGCGAUACUUUGUAGAACAGGAGGUGACUUUUUUAAAAAAGCAAUUUCUAUAGCAGUCUUCACAAUUUCUGUCACAGUCUUGACACACUUACCUGCUGUUGAGGCCACAUUUGCCUGUUUCUAACCUCUGCCUGAAAAAUUCAAAUUAGAUGAUCAUAUGGCCCACAGCCAGAAAUACAGGAGGCAGCAAGCCAGAGGUCAAUUUUUUUUGUUUCUAAAUAAGACAAAAUCCUGACUUAAAGUAAUCAGAAUAAAUUUCACAUCGUGAAGUUUUUUCCAGCUGAAAGUCUGAAAAUAUGGCAUCUGGAAAGGGCCUUAGUCUAUUGCUCCCAGGGCAGUACUAUAUCGUCAUUAAACAGCCCACAGAUAAGGGAGUUAUUGCUCCCUGGUUAUCAAGCUGUCAGGGAGUAAAUGAUGGAACUAAGUUAGACUUGAAACACUCCCAAAUUAAAAACAAAAACAAACCUUGCAUUGAGCUUUCAAAAAAUGCAUUUUACUGAGAAGUAGGAUCCAGAUGCUGUGGCCAUUGUUAACUGAUGCCAAAAGGCAAAGAGUCAGGACUUUUAAAGUCACUUUGAGGUCACCUCCCAUCAGUAAGCAACAGUUUGAACUGAUGCAAAUAUAUACAGAAUGGGACGCCUGGGUGGCUCAGUUGGUUAAGCAUCUGCCUUUGGCACGGGUCAUGGUCCUAGGGUCCUGGAAUCAAGUCCCGCGUCGGGCUCCCUGCUCAGCGGGAAGCUUGCUUCUCCCUCUGCCUGCCGCUCCCCCUGCUUGAGCUCUCUCUCUCUGGCAAAUAAAUAAAUAAAGCCUAAAAAAAAAAAAAGAUAUGCAGAAUGAAAUUAUGAACAGGAGGAAGAAACUGAGGGCAAUAUAUGCCAGAAAUACGGAAGAGGCUGUGUCUUAUUUAUUUUCUCGUUUCCUACACAAAAUAGAGAAACCUUGUACAUAGGAGGCAGGCACUCAUUAUUUGUUACCCGAAUAAGUGAAGAAGAAAGCCAGCAAACAGCAGGAAUGUAAUAUAGUUGGGAAAGGGAACUGUAGCUCAAGCCCUCUGCAUGAUCCUGAAAUGUCAUCCCAAUCUGCUGUGAUAUAAUGCACUACUCUAUCAAAAUAGCUCAAAUCAUCUGCUUCCAGAUGUACAGCUUCCCAUCAUUUCUUGCCUUGAAUGAUUAAGAAUAUAUGGUAAUGUAGGGCGCCUGGGUGGCUCAGUUGGUUAAGCGACUGCCUUCGGCUCAGGUCAUGAUCCUGGAGUCCCCGGAUUGAGUCCCGCAUCGGGCUCCCUGCUCGGCAGGGAGCCUGCUUCUGCCUCUGACCCUCCCCCCUCUCAUGUGCUCUCUCUCUUUCAUUCUCUCUGUCUCAAAUAAAUAAAUAAAAUCUUUGGGAAAAAAAAAGAAUAUAUGGUAAUGUAAGAGACUAGAUCUUAAUUGUUCCCACCACAAAAAAGAAAUGAUAAUUAUGUAACAUGUAGAGGUGUUAGCUAACUCUAUAGUGGUAAUCAUAUUGCAAUAUAUAAGUGUAUCAAGUCAACAGAUUGUACACCUUAAACUUACACAGUGUUAUAUGUCAAUUAUAUUUCAAUUUAAAAAAUUAUAUAUGGUAAUGAUUAAGAGAGUCCACUCUGGAAUCAGGCUGUGUUCAAAUUCCAGCCCUGACACUGAAUACCUGUGAACCUAGAGCGAGUUAAAGCAUAAUAACUCAGGGUUAUGAAAUUUAAAUGUUUACACAUAUGAAGCUAUUAUAGGAUAAGCAUGUCAAAGAUGCUCAAUAGCUGUGAACCUUAUUAGUAUUAGGAUGUUGUGAUAAACAUGAAAUUGACCUGUACGGACAGACCCAUUCUUUUGGAUGAGCAAUGCACUGAUGCACUAAAGGCAUUUGUCAACCUGUAGUAAUGAAAUAAGUUUUCACAAGAGAUAUUGAUGGGUGACACAGAUUUUAUCUGUCCCACUUUCCAGACUGACAUGAGUCCGGUCUUAGUAGGAGAUGCAGAGUCUGAAUCUGUGUUCUCGUCUCCACAAAAAGCAGGCACAGAGAGACUGUAAUCUCCUUCAGAGAUGGUGCCUGUCUCCUGUGUAUCCUCCACAGGUAAUCUCUACACCUAAUGUGGAGCUCGAGCUCACAACCUCUAGAUCAAGAGUCGCAAUCUCCACCAACUGAGCCAGACAGGAGCUCCUGAAAAUUCUGAUUUGAAAUCAUUAUUCUAUGCUCUUCACUUUGAAGUUAGUCCCACAUGCCAGGAAAGGUCCAGCUUCCCAAUCUCACUCUGUGUUUGUGAAGUAUAAAACCUGUAUUAAGAAAAAUGCUGUUUCCUCAAUUACUUGCAACCCUCUCCAAAUCAUACACAAAAAUCCUCAUGCAACCUGCGUGGAGAGAAGUGUGUUAGCCAGAGAGAGGGUGAAGAAGUAGGAGGAAGGUAAAGAAGACAGCUCAGAACAGGCUGUCUCUGCUUGAUGGCUUUUCCACCUACUGCAGUGAGUAUCAUCAAGGAAAGUUCUCCAUCCUAGACCCACUCCGUCAGUGACUCCUGGACAGGAUCUGGAAUCUCUAGCAACACAUUCCCCAGCGGAUUCUAAAGCCACCAAAGUUUGAGAAGCAUUGGUUUCUUGUAUGGACUGAAUUGUGUGUCUCCCCCACCCCCCAAAUUCAUAUGUUGAAGCUCUAACCCCCAGUGUGAUUAUAUAGAGAGCUUAUAGAGAUAGGGUCUUUAGGACACAAUUAAGGUUAAAUGAGAUCAUAAGGGUGGGGCACGUCUGCAAACAUGAAGAGAGCUCCCAGGAACAAAAUUGGUUGAUGCUUUGAUCUUGGACUUCAAGCCUCCAAAGCCGUGAGAAAUAAAUUUCUGUUCUUCAAGCUGCCCAGUUUUUGGGGUACUUUGUUACAGCAGGCAGAGCUGGCUAAGGCCGCUUCAGGGAUCAAAAAUGACCAGUCUAUUGUCGGCUCCAAAGAAGGGACCCUCGCUCUAGACCUGGAAUCUCUGGUGUGAAGAGGCAGGUGUAUGGUUAUCCUGGGCUGGAGGCCUGGAUCAGCGGUGGAGAGGGGGCACGAGGGCACACCUGAAAUAUUGGCAACGCUCUGUUUCUUGGUUAGGGUGUGAUCACACAGAAGGGCGCACUUUGUGAAUCCCUAUUAGGCUGGAUACUUAGGAUUUGUGUACUUUUCUGUAUGUAUUUCUACUUACAAAAAAUGACAGUAUUCAAAUAAAAAGUUCAAAGGUUUACCUCUUCUUAGAACUGUGAGGAUUAAGAGAUCACAGAUGUAAGGCGCCUGACCGUUUUUUAGCACGCAGGACACACUCAUUAGCUAUUUGCCAGCUUUUGUCAGCUCAUUAGGUGAAAGGCCAAAUGAAUAUGCAAAUGACCAAACUGGGUGAGGACAGAAAGACUCAGCAGUCCACCACCGCCACCGAGAGGGCAGAAGAGGGCAAGGAGAAACGCACAGAUGUGGGGUUUGCGUUUCGGCUUCUCCACCUCCUGAGCAGGUCCCUUAACCUCUCUGAGGCUCAGCUUAACGGGCUGACAGGUGUGCCGCCAAGAUCAAACGUCGUCGUACAAAAAGGCCCUGUCCUCACGUUCUGCCUGUAUGCACCGCAGAGCUCAGUGAGUGCUAAGCAUGAUGCCGAUGACCGAGGAGCUGGGAUGUGGCCACGUCCCCACGCUCCU